CAGUAGCCGCGGGAAUACGAAGGGUGCAAGCGUUACUCGGAAUUACUGGGCGUAAAGCGUGCGUAGGUGGUGGUUUAAGUCCGUUGUGAAAGCCCUGGGCUCAACCUGGGAAUUGCAGUGGAUACUGGGUCACUAGAGUGUGGUAGAGGAUAGUGGAAUUUCCGGUGUAGCAGUGAAAUGCGUAGAGAUCGGAAGGAACAUCUGUGGCGAAGGCGACUAUCUGGGCCAACACUGACACUGAGGCACGAAAGCGUGGGGAGCAAACGGGAUUAGAUACCCCUGUAGUCCCUGUCUCUUAUAA
rnacentral:rRNA from 1 species